rnacentral:rRNA from 1 species
CGUAAAGAAAGCGUUAAAGCUCUUUUUCAUUUUUUUUAAUAAUACCUCUAAAUUUACUCAACCCUUUAUUAUUACUGAAUGAUUCUAUAACCUAUAGAAGCCCUUAUGCUAAAACUAGUAACAAGAAAUCAUAUUUCUCCAAAAUAUAAGCAUAAGCCGGAAUGGAUUAACCACCGGCAAUUAACGUUAAUAAAACCAUUGUAAUAACUUCUCAAGAAAAUCCUAUAAGCAUAAACGUUAACCUUACACAAGUAUAUUUCCGGAAAGAUUUAAAGAAAGGGAAGGAACUCGGCAAAUCUCAACCCCGCCUGUUUACCAAAAACAUCGCCUCUUGACAACCUAUAAGAGGUCCAGCCUGCCCAGUGAUAAAAUUAAACGGCCGCGGUACCCUGACCGUGCAAAGGUAGCAUAAUCACUUGCCCCUUAAAUAGGGACUUGUAUCAACGGCAUCACGAGGGUUAUACUGUCUCCCCCAUCUAAUCAGUGAAACUGACCUCCCCGUGAAGAGACGGGGAUACAACUACAAGACGAGAAGACCCCAUGGAGCUUUAAACCCAAUGACAGCCCAUACUCAAACACCCCCACACAAAUAUAAAGCAAUGUACAUUGGUUUUGGGUUGGGGUGACCGCGGAGCAAAAUUAAACCUCCAUGACGAACAGGAAUACUCCUAAUCUAUGAACUGCCACUCUAAGAAUCAAUAAAUUUGACGUAAUAUGAUCCGGCAACCGAUCAACGAACCAAGUUACCCUGGGGAUAACAGCGCAAUCCAUUUCAAGAGCUCCUAUCGACAAAUGGGUUUACGACCUCGAUGUUGGAUCAGGGUAUCCCAGUGGUGCAGCCGCUACUAAAGGUUUGUUUGUUCAACAAUUAAAACC